UGACGUACUUGUACUGAUUGAGAUUUUAACACGAAGUGAGUGGCGAACGGGUGAGUAACACGUGGGUAACCUGCCCAGAAGUAGGGGAUAACACCUGGAAACAGAUGCUAAUACCGUAUAACAGAGAAAACCGCAUGGUUUUCUUUUAAAAGAUGGCUCUGCUAUCACUUCUGGAUGGACCCGCGGCGUAUUAGCUAGUUGGUGAGGUAAAGGCUCACCAAGGCAGUGAUACGUAGCCGACCUGAGAGGGUAAUCGGCCACAUUGGGACUGAGACACGGCCCAGACUCCUACGGGAGGCAGCAGUAGGGAAUCUUCCACAAUGGACGCAAGUCUGAUGGAGCAACGCCGCGUGAGUGAAGAAGGGUUUCGGCUCGUAAAGCUCUGUUGUUAAAGAAGAACGUGGGUAAGAGUAACUGUUUACCCAGUGACGGUAUUUAACCAGAAAGCCACGGCUAACUACGUGCCAGCAGCCGCGGUAAUACGUAGGUGGCAAGCGUUAUCCGGAUUUAUUGGGCGUAAAGCGAGCGCAGGCGGUCUUUUAAGUCUAAUGUGAAAGCCUUCGGCUCAACCGAAGAAGUGCAUUGGAAACUGGGAGACUUGAGUGCAGAAGAGGACAGUGGAACUCCAUGUGUAGCGGUGAAAUGCGUAGAUAUAUGGAAGAACACCAGUGGCGAAGGCGGCUGUCUGGUCUGCAACUGACGCUGAGGCUCGAAAGCAUGGGUAGCGAACAGGAUUAGAUACCCUGGUAGUCCAUGCCGUAAACGAUGAUUACUAAGUGUUGGAGGGUUUCCGCCCUUCAGUGCUGCAGCUAACGCAUUAAGUAAUCCGCCUGGGGAGUACGACCGCAAGGUUGAAACUCAAAAGAAUUGACGGGGGCCCGCACAAGCGGUGGAGCAUGUGGUUUAAUUCGAAGCUACGCGAAGAACCUUACCAGGUCUUGACAUCUUCUGACAGUCUAAGAGAUUAGAGGUUCCCUUCGGGGACAGAAUGACAGGUGGUGCAUGGUUGUCGUCAGCUCGUGUCGUGAGAUGUUGGGUUAAGUCCCGCAACGAGCGCAACCCUUAUUACUAGUUGCCAGCAUUAAGUUGGGCACUCUAGUGAGACUGCCGGUGACAAACCGGAGGAAGGUGGGGACGACGUCAAAUCAUCAUGCCCCUUAUGACCUGGG
rnacentral:rRNA from 1 species